GGUGGCUCAGUGGUAGAGCGCUUGCCUCACAUGCAUGAGGUCCUGGGUUCAAUUCCUCAGCACCA
rnacentral:tRNA from 1 species